UUAGUUUAGCUCGCGCCAGCUGCCACAACGCGGAUGCUACAAUUGACUUCUUGCACCUCACAUAUAACGAAACAUACAACCAGCGGCGCAAUGGACUAGCAUGCCCAGCUUCCUGGUUCGAAUGCUAGAGUGACGGCAAAUUGAAUUAAUUGUGGAGGAGCACCGCAGCAAGAACAUGAAGUUGUAAAUUAUUACCUGUUUAAAAAGGUACAAGACGCUUUCAGAAUGGUGGCUCAGUCGGCGUCGACGUGAGUCAAACUUUCUUUCUUCCAGUCGACUGCCGCAGUUUCGCCGGUAGUUGAAGCUACACUACAAGCAAUCGUUUCCUCUCUCUCUCUCUCUCUCUCUCUCUCUCUCUCUCUCUCUCUUUCUCUGCUUGUCUAUCGUUUGUUCCCUUCUGCCCUCCCUCUUCCACUUGCAGCUCACUGGUUCGUGCAACUUCAGUUGAGUACGUUGCCCACUGGCGUACGGUGCAAGUCGAGGCGGGCACCGGCCAUGUUGAAUCCGCCCCUUUGAUCAACGGCUGUGGCUUAUUUGCCAGCGUUACCCCGCGGACCAAUCACGUCCUCUCAAAAACCUGAUUGACAACAGCGGGGCGGGGAAAACAAGCCGGCAAAGAAAAAAAAAAGCUGAACUUGAAAAAGAGGAGGAGGAGGAAUAGGUUGAGAUAAGGCGUGUUUAAUGAGAAAGGGUCACGGCUGAGCUGGAGCCGAAGUCCCAACUGACUGUGGGCAAGUGCCACGGUACCACCUGGACUGGUCGCCAGCCAAUCACAGGGCACAUAUAAAUAACCAUUCACACGCUUAUGCACUGCUAUGGACAGUUUUGGGUAAAACAUUUUUUCCACCUGUUUUGGACCACCUAUUAUGAGAAGUGUUGUAGUUAAGUGCUUCACCCUCCCAGUUUUGUCAGUCAGACAGGUGAGCCAACGUGCAUGCCCAGUCAUGUAAACACUACAUGGGAACUGCUGCAGGUGAUCAACUAAUUAAUGUCAGGGAGGGAAAUUAUAGUCACACAUCAUAAUACUGCCUGACUUGGUUGUGGUUUCUUUGUUCUCUUCAAAAACACCUGAUAAUGCAAUGACUUGCAUGCUUGCGCAGGUGGAUCCAUGUUAAAAGUAACCACAUUUGACAAAUAAUUGAUUUAAAUGUAUAUAAAAAAUAUUUCAACCUAGUGGAAGAAAGAAUAAAGAAAGAAAUAUGUGAUUGUUGAAAAAAUAACAAAGAUGAAAGUAAUAACGCUUUUAAAGUUUACAAUAAAUACAAGUUCAUCUUGAACUUGUUUACCUCAGAUAUUCUCCUGGGCCGAGACUGGGCCAAGUAGAACUGCUGGCCCAGUGCCAGUACAAAUGCCACAACCAGCAGGGAGACAUUAACGGUGGAAAAUAAAAAAGAGUUUGCUUACACAUUGUGAAACAGGGAUUAAUGAAUCAACACUUUUGAUCAGUUGGGGAUAAUUAAAGUUACAGUUUGGGACAUGUGAGAACUUGGAUGAAAGAGGGAGAACUGUGCAAAUGUAAUGUGUCUUGAAUAAACAAGUUGUUCUAUCCAAUAUUAGAGUUGAUUCCAAAUGCAAACCAGAUGAUGAUGUUGCAAUGUUCCUCGGAUGAACAACAAGUUGUGACUAUUGCGUCAAUGAGUGCUAUUAUUGAACAAAUGGCUACUCUAUACUGUAUUCUUCAGUUACAUUAUGUUAGAGGGGGAGCCUCAGGUGUGACUGGCAUUUCCCGACAAACACUGGAAAAUCACAUUUUCUGAACAAUGUGCUAUGUGCCAUUAUGGGGAGGAAUGUGUCUGUGUUUUCAUAUACGUUUAGUUACAGAGCAUCCCAUGUAUGUGGAACACAACACUGAACAUUCAGCAUGCCUGGACUGUGUGGA